UGGGGAAUUUUGGACAAUGGGCGCAAGCCUGAUCCAGCAAUGCCGCGUGCAGGACGAAGGCCUUCGGGUUGUAAACUGCUUUUGUACGGAGCGAAACGGUCUUCUCUAAUACAGGGGGCUAAUGACGGUACCGUAAGAAUAAGCACCGGCUAACUACGUG
rnacentral:rRNA from 1 species